UACAGAGGUGGCAAGCGUUGUUCGGAAUUACUGGGCGUAAAGGGCGCGUAGGCGGCCAUCUAAGUCAGACGUGAAAUCCCCCGGCUUAACCUGGGAACUGCGUCUGAUACUGGAAGGCUCGAGUUUGGGAGAGGGAUGCAGAAUUCCAGGUGUAGCGGUGAAAUGCGUAGAUAUCUGGAGGAAUACCGGUGGCGAAGGCGGCAUCCUGGACCAACACUGACGCUGAGGCGCGAAAGCUAGGGGGAGCAAACGGG
rnacentral:rRNA from 1 species